rnacentral:lncRNA from 1 species
CUCUGAUGCAUUAGUGAUGGAGAGUUCAAAAAACACUGUGAAAUAAUUGCUUUUUAGAGCAAGGCUGGAGCAACAAGAAGCACACAAAGCCUGCAGCCAUGUGAUCACAGAUGCAGAAUAGACCAAAGACCAAAACAGCAGUGCAUUGGCAACCUUGUACUCUGAGUGAGGCCUCGUGGUCAGAGGGAUAUGUUUAGGGCCCUCCUGUGAGCCUGACGACAAGGAUAUCAGAAGACAAAUAGACCUUCAGGUAGGCCAAGGUUUCUUUGUUUACCUGUUUACCUUGUACUUUUCAAAGCAAACUGUUUAAGUCACUCUAAUCCAAUGUCAUGACUUGGGGAAGCUUGAAUUGGGACCUUCCAAGCAUGUG